CACAAUCCUAAAAGAAAAAAUAGAAAGCUAUGACGAAAAAAGACUGGUUAUUAUUCCCUUUUUCAAUUCUUCGUAAUGUCAACUACAAAUAGCUGCUCGUUGGGCGAUGACAAAGAACUGACUAGUGGUGUGAUUAAACUAUCAACUUCGUGUCCACAAACUUAUCGAUUGCAAUACUACAUUUUAUCGUAACGAAAUGAAAUUACUUUUUACUGAAAAGUCUUAAUUAUAAAUGCAAAAGUAUUAUAAAAACACAUAUCUAACAAAUUUGAAGCCAUUUUAAUUUCAUUAGGGCAACAACAUUAAGGAUGAUAAACAAAGUUGUGGUUAUAACUACCAAUACGCCUUCAGGUCAGAAUUUGAAGUAUUAAGGCUUACUGUUAAUGCUAACAAAAUGUUUUGUAGAUGUUUUAUAAAAUUAAGUCAUAUAUGAUUACAUUAUAGGAUAGCUGAUAUAAAAAAAAACACUAUAAAAGCUUAAGAGAUAAAAUUAACUAUCAAACUUCUAAUAUAUCAUAGCUUGAGUUGUAGUCUAGCAGUCAUUGUGUAUUAUGCUAUCCUAUUAAAAACUUGCUUGUAAUUUAAAUAUACGGUAUGAUUUGAUAGUCCUAGAAAUUAAUAUAUAUCUUGGUAAGUCUUUUUACUCGCAUAUGCGAUAUUUAUAUCUUAAUACAUUUGUGGCGCGAGAACACCUCUGUUGCAUUUACUUUGUUUCAUUCCACAAAUAAAUAAUAGUGCCAUUCCUUUUACUCUUGUUUAAAAUCGAACACGCAAAUAAUUGAUAAGGCAGUAUUUUAUUUAUUUACUGUUUCACUUUUUGUAUGUCAGUUUUUCUAUUGCUUCUUUUCUUUGUUUUCGGAGACGCUUUGACAACUACGAAAUGUUCCAAAAUCCACAUAUUCACCUUUUAUUAAUUGAAAGUGAACUCAAAAGCAUUACGGGAGAAGUUGAUUACAAAAAUUUAACAGUCUGUAAUUUCGGAUAUAAUAAACAGAAAUCAAAGUAUUUGUGAAUUUAUUGAGUACUUUAUGUCUUCAGUACAUUGUUUUUGAAAAGAAUUUAACGCAUUUUAAUAAUAAUUUUCAUAAAAGAUCAACCACGUUGUACAAAUUAAGUAAGUUGUCAUCAUAAUGUACGGGAUUACUGCGUGUAUAAGCAGCUGCGCUAAAGUUCGAGUCGCUGCUUUGGUUGCAAUAAUAAAAUUGUUCGAGAAGUAGUAAAUGCUUUUUUUUUUUGUUUCUUUUAAAGGAAUUACACGUUUAAACUAAGUUUUUUACAGCUGAAAUGCUUGAGCUAAAACGAAAGUAAAAUGUAACUCACAAAGUUGCAUUAGUGUUAAACUAUAUAUUUUUUCCAUUGCGGGAAAGUAAUGUACAUACUUAAAAGGUGCAAAUGUUCUUGACGACGGAAAAUUGAACCAAAUGUGACUAUCACAGCUGUCUAGAACGUGGCUGUUGCGCGUGUUUCAUAUAAGUAUGUAAAAUAUGUUGAGGUAAAUUAAUCGCUAUUUACCUGCCGCAUAUAAUACCAAAUGAAGUUCGCUAAAACUAAGGAAAACAAACAUUUAGACCGGCUUAAAAAAGAGCGAUGACAUAUUGAUUAAAAAUAUGUGCUUCGAAUUAACUUUAUGUUCUGAUCAGUGCAAUGGAAAAAUUUACUCAGUUUAUGAUUAACGAAAAUUUCUUUGUUUUUGUGAUGAUGUUACAUGUGAUUUUCUACGUAUCAUCGCGCUGUGAUGCCACGUCUAAAUGACUGAAUUGCAAAUAUGCAUAUAAAAAUAUGCAUCUGUAUGUUUUCAUUACAUUAAAACGCAGAUGCACAUGAAGUAGAGAAAGUUUACAAAAACCUGUUGCCUCACAAUUUGUUUUCUUCGCAUUUGCAUUAACGGCAUUUACAACAUACCGAAAUUUGUUAAACAAUAUGGCUCGUGGACAUCAAAAGCUUCAGUCUCAAGCUAAGUCUCAAGAAAAGCAAGCAAAAAUGAAAAAACAACAAGGUCAUAGUGCCAACGAUCAGAAGAAGGCAGCACAAAAGGCGCUCGUUCAUGUAUGCGCGGUUUGCAAGUCUCAAAUGCCCGAUCCAAAAACGUACAAACAACAUUUUGAGAAUAAACACCCCAAAAAUGAAAUGCCACCAGAAUUAAAAGAUGUGUAAAAUUAGUUAUAUUGUAAUCAUUCAGGCUGCAGUUAAUAUAAUCGAUAUUGAAACAUUUUUGAAUAAAUAUUGAGGAAACGAAGCCAGCAGUUACCCAUAAUUGACGAACGUGUGUAUUAUUGCUGAAGCAAUUAGAUGAUCUGCUUUUGCGAUAACAUAGCUAAUUUUUUUUGUAUUUGUUUAGUAGUGUUGUAAAAAAACACUCAAAAUAUAAUUUCUUAUAUUAAAUAAUUAAUAAAAAUGUGACCCAGACGUAUAAAUUAUGAUGUGUAAAUUUUGUAACGAUCUGUAUACCAACCACAAUGAAGUUAUUUGCUAUUGCCGUACUGCUUCGUUUCGGUUAAUUUCAAAUGUGGAUAACCCAAAUUAAAGAUAUAUACAUCUAAGAUUAAUAUUUGCAAAUGAGUAAAUAAGUGAAGUUAUAAAUGAACAUAUUAUCCCAUUAGUUAAAAUAAUAUUAAAGGAUUAGAGGACAAAAUAAUAUAUAUUUAGUAUUGUAUCACAUAAGCAUGCAUACAUACACACACAUUUUUGUACUAUAUAAAUUGCGUAUUGAUAUAUAGCAAUUGCUCCCCGCAUUGGCUCAUAGUUUUCUCCUGUGUAAAUUUGCCUUUGUAUUUUAACGUAGAAAAAUUAUGUUGUAAUUGAUUUAUGAGGGAAUUCAAUAAAUAUUAUUUAAAUAGAAAAUUUUCGAAA